CACGAUUUAUGUUCAGCGACAGCUCCGUACGAUUACGAUUACCCACUAUUGAAACCUUUCUGUUGUUGUGGAAACUUGUUAAGAAUCAGAGGGUAAGAUGUCUCAGUACACCCGAAAAGACCCUCCAUGGAGUCAUGUUAGUGCUGCAAGUGCUGGGCUAAAUCAGAUACAGCAGAACCAAUCAUUAUUUGGUGCCCAGGCUGGUGUAGUAGGUACCCCUACUACUGUCUAUGGUCAAUCUAUGGUGAGCAGUGAUGGGUUAGCAGGAGCUACAACAUCAUACUCUACUCCACAGCAAACCAUGCAACAAAGACAAAAUAUUGCCAUACAACAGG